AAACAAGGAAUGUGGAGCUAAUGCAUGCUGCUAAGGAUGGAAAGGUCUUGUGUUUAUUGGUUGUGCCUGAGACACCAGUCACAGUUGUACCUUAUUUCCAUUUUAGAGGGAGUCUAUAUACAUUUGAGGUGAGCGACAGAUUUGAUUGUGAAGAUGGAUGACUUUCAGAUGUUGUGAUGAAGAUUGUUGAAAGGGAUUAUCAACAUAGAACCAAUCCAUAUGAUUGGGCAAGUCAGGUGAGGAUUGGACUUCAACGUGUAAUCAAGAAAUGUUUAUACAUAAUGUGUGAUGGUGACUGCACUGUAAUACAUGUGUCUUAUUUGUUACGAAUAAUUCGUUUCAUUUUAUUAUGGAAAUUUAUCCGUCCCAACACUGGCAAAAAUAUAGUUAAUCUGACUUCAAAAUUCCUUCCUCUGUUCCCCCAAGUACAUGUAACACUCUUCGCUCUCAUUUUUAAAAAAUUUUCAUUGUAUAUUUUUUGUACAAGCAAGGAAUGUGGAGCUAAUGCAUGCUGCUAAGGAUGGAAAGGUCUUGUGUUUAUUGGUUGUGCCUGAGACACCAGUCACAGUUGUAUCUUAUUUCCAUUUUAGGGAGUCUAUAUACAUUUGAGGUGAGCGGCAGAUUUAAUUUUGAAGAUGGGUGACAUUCAGAUGUUGUGAUGAAGAUUGUUGAAAGGGAUUAUCAACAUAGAACCAAUCCAUAUGAAUGGGCAAGUCAGGACUUGUACAACACCUGAGUACCUAGAUGACUGUUGAACUAAUUGGUGAACAAGACAAGAUGUCAGAGACGGGAAUCCAAUACAGAUGCCAUGAUCAAGAAUAUAUACUCAUUAAUGAUAUGAUCAAGAAUAUGUAAACUUGUAACGAUUUAGAAUAUCUUAUCUGUAAAUCACUCUUCAUUACUUAAUUGUUCACACAUGAUCAUCUACACUUAUGACAUAAAUUUUAUCUGUAUAUUAAUCGCCCCUCUUAUCUAUACCCCCUGCUGAUCGUAAUGACCUGUGUAUUGACUCCUGAUCUUAAGGAUCUUGUAAUGUGCUCCUGAUUGUCAGGAGCGGAUCUUGAGUAUAUAUAUAGUGCGACAGAACUUUAGAAUAAGAUAGGAAGAUGGAAAUGUAGAAGACUUAGUAGAUAGAACUGUUAGAGAUAUAUAAAGUUACUCACUUACUUGGAAUAUUACCUAAUAUUUCUUGGAUUUGAAUGUACAUGCAAUUGUUUUACUUGGAUUUUAUUUUUUGUGAAUUUUUUUUCCUGAAUGUUUCUAUUUGUGAUGUGCUGUUAAGUAAACUGUAGACUAGAAUUUCGGCAUCUAUUUUCAAGAUAUGAGAAACAAGGAUAAAUUAAUUUAUUCAUGCAAACUGAUAUUAUGAAAUAUGUUGUAAGACCGCUCGGAUGGAUGUCCUGAUCAAGAAUAUACACUGUUAUCGAUGAUUUGAUCAAGAAUAUGUAAACUAAGAAAUAUCUUGGAGAUUUAUAGAUGAACAUGCAAGCAUUCAUGAUUUUGAAUGUUAUUCAGCCAGUGAGUUUUUGCACAAAUUUAAUUUUCAGUACAGUAAUUUAAACUGGAUGUGUAAUUUUCAGUACAGUUAUGUAAAAUGAAUAUAUGUUACUUAUUAUGAUUGUCAAAUUCUCAACAGUACAUAAUUGUAGUUUAUUUAUACGAUCACUCUUGCAGAACAAAACACGCAGAACUUUUUUUUCUCUGUGUGCAUCAUACACUUGUAAAUGUUUUACACCACCAUGUUUACAUAUUUUACACUGUUGACGUAAAUCGAGCACACACAUGAAAAUGCGUAUAGCUGGAUACAUGCAAACAUGCAUCUACCAUAACCUAUUACAUAUUUUCCAAGGUGUUUGAAGUCGAGCACAUACAUGAAAAUGUGUGAAGCUGGACAACAUACACAAAUACAGAUGCAUCUGCCACAACCUAUUACAUAUUUUCCAAGGCGUGUGAAGUCGAGCACAUACAUGAAAAUGUGUGAAGCUGGACACAUAUGCAAACACACAAGCAUCUACCACAACCUAUUACAUAUUUUCCAAGGUGUGUGAAGUCGAGCACAUACAUGAAAGUGUGUGAAGCUGGACACAUACACAUAUACCACAGACAUAAAAACAUAAUCUAAACUAAGUCAGGCACAGACAGGCUCAUUGGGUGAAGCUGGACUCAUACAUGAUCUCAUGCAUUUUGCAAAAUGCAUCCUCACAUAUAUAUUCUAAUAGAUUUUUCAUCAUUUUUUGUGUUUGUGAAUAUGUAAAAUGCAUCAUUUUGCAUUACAAGUUGAAGAUUUUAUUCACCUGUAUAUAAGCGCAAAUAAAAUAGCCUUUUAUGUAAUUUUUUUUACUUUUGAAUUCAAUUCAAACUGCAAAGUUUAUUUUAUAUAUGUACAUGCACCAUAAAGAAUAACGUAAAUAAUAUUGUACCGGUAUUAUAUUUUAAAGUGAAAUGGGACCUCCAUUUCAUAAGCAGAAAUGUGAAAUUUAUACUUGUCAUCAGUAUUUUUUUUUAAUUUUGUCUCACAUGUAUCUGAAUGUUUAAAGGAAAACAAAAGUCAAAGAUAGCUCAAUAUAAUGUUUAUAUUCAAGAUCAUAACUGGAGAUUUUUUGUGCUGUAUAUCUGACUCAUCAUAUGAUGAUGAGCCAAAAUACAGAAUACUUUAGGUCAUUUUUGUUUGGAAAAUGAAAAUUAUCAAUAUGCCAAUUUUUCCCAUUGUUAUAUUAUUAAUUAAUAUAUUAUUAAUAUCAAUGUACAUAUAAAAAAUCUAUGCCAUCCAAUCCAGAGAGUUGUAGGCAAUCCUGGUGCAGAUAAUAUUUUUUUUUACCGUGUUUCGUAGUAGAGCGGGAACACAUUGUAUGAGAGGAAUGUAUAUUAAUGGUUUUGGUUGUAUAUGUGGGCGUGGCCAAAGGAAGGCCAAUGAGAAAUGAGUAUUCAGUAAGGUGUUCAAAUCAUUCUAAGCCAGUGCUCUUCAAUACACACACAUUUUUUUUUCUUGCUUUAUACAUGUAUAUAAUAUAUAUGUCAUAUUUGUAUAAAUAUACUGGUAAUGGAAAUAACAAAACUGUUGAAAUGUAUUUUAAUUUGGAUUUUUUCAUACAUGCAAAUAUUAUAGGGUGUUCGCGCAUUUUUAACUAUUGCACUGAAUGCACGUCCGGCAUUCUCCCUUGAGACAUUAUUUACAUAGCGACGGACACAGGUUUUCCAUAGUUAACCAUCUAUGGUUUUUGCUUGGGCGGUUUUUAAUGUCUGUGAUAGGGGUAUAAUUUAUUACAAGUAAAAUAUUUUACAAAUGCAUUCCAGUGCUUUAUUGUUUCACAUUCAAUGUAAUGUAAGUUAAAUAUGUAUCAAAAUAAACGCCAGCUGCUCCAACUAAGCUAACCUGGCUUACAGCAUAGUUGUUGUAUUAUUUGAGGUGUAGUCUGUCAGAUAAUGAUG